rnacentral:rRNA from 2 species
UCCCUAUGGGGUGCACCAGGCGCGCAAACUUUACAAUGCGAGCAAUCGUGAUAAGGAAACCCUGAGUGCCUGUCGAUGCAGGCUGUUCAUAUAUCUAAAUCAUAUGUGAAGAAAGGGCAGGGCAAGACCGGUGCCAGCCGCCGCGGUAAUACA